GAUGAGCGCUGGCGGCGUGCCUAAUACAUGCAAGUCGAGCGAACGGACGAGAAGCUUGCUUUUCUGAUGUUAGCGGCGGACGGGUGAGUAACACGUGGAUAACCUACCUAUAAGACUGGGAUAACUUCGGGAAACCGGAGCUAAUACCGGAUAAUAUUUUGAACCGCAUGGUUCAAAAGUGAAAGACGGUCUUGCUGUCACUUAUAGAUGGAUCCGCGCUGCAUUGGCUAGUUGGUAAGGUAACGGCUUACCAAGGCAACGAUGCAUAGCCGACCUGAGAGGGUGAUCGGCCACACUGGAACUGAGACACGGUCCAGACUCCUACGGGAGGCAGCAGUAGGGAAUCUUCCGCAAUGGGCGAAAGCCUGACGGAGCAACGCCGCGUGAGUGAUGAAGGUCUUCGGAUCGUAAAACUCUGUUAUUAGGGAAGAACAUAUGUGUAAGUAACUGUGCACAUCUUGACGGUACCUAAUCAGAAAGCCACGGCUAACUACGUG
rnacentral:rRNA from 1 species